rnacentral:rRNA from 1 species
GACGAACGCUGGCGGCGUGCCUAAUACAUGCAAGUCGAGCGAGCUUGCCUAGAUGAUUUUAGUGCUUGCACUCAAUGAAACUAGAUACAAGCGAGCGGCGGACGGGUGAGUAACACGUGGGUAACCUGCCCAAGAGACUGGGAUAACACCUGGAAACAGAUGCUAAUACCGGAUAACAACACUAGACGCAUGUCUAGAGUUUGAAAGAUGGUUCUGCUAUCACUCUUGGAUGGACCUGCGGUGCAUUAGCUAGUUGGUAAGGUAACGGCUUACCAAGGCAAUGAUGCAUAGCCGAGUUGAGAGACUGAUCGGCCACAUUGGGACUGAGACACGGCCCAAACUCCUACGGGAGGCAGCAGUAGGGAAUCUUCCACAAUGGACGAAAGUCUGAUGGAGCAACGCCGCGGGAGUGAAGAAGGGUUUCGGCUCGUAAAGCUCUGUUGGUAGUGAAGAAAGAUAGAGGUAGUAACUGGCCUUUAUUUGACGGUAAUUACUUAGAAAGUCACGGCUAACUACGU